GACGAACGCUGGCGGCGUGCUUAACACAUGCAAGUCGAGCGGUAAGGCCCUUUCGGGGGUACACGAGCGGCGAACGGGUGAGUAACACGUGGGUGACCUGCCCUCAGCUCUGGGAUAAGCCUGGGAAACCGGGUCUAAUACCGGAUAUGACUCCAUGACGCAUGUUGUGGGGUGGAAAGCCUUGUGCGGCUGAGGAUGGGCCCGCGGCCUAUCAGCUUGUUGGUGGGGUGAUGGCCUACCAAGGCGACGACGGGUAGCCGGCCUGAGAGGGCGACCGGCCACACUGGGACUGAGACACGGCCCAGACUCCUACGGGAGGCAGCAGUGGGGAAUCUUGCGCAAUGGGCGAAAGCCUGACGCAGCGACGCCGCGUGGGGAUGAAGGUCUUCGGAUU
rnacentral:rRNA from 1 species